GAUGAACGCUGGCGGCGUGCCUAAUACAUGCAAGUCGAGCGAACAGACGAGGAGCUUGCUCCUCUGACGUUAGCGGCGGACGGGUGAGAAACACGUGGAUAACCUACCUAUAAGACUGGGAUAACUUCGGGAAACCGGAGCUAAUACCGUAUAAUAUAUUGAACCGCAUGGUUCAAUAGUGAAAGACGGUUUUGCUGUCACUUAUAGAUGGAUCCGCGCCGCAUUAGCUAGUUGGUAGGGUAACGGCUUACCAAGGCAACGAUGCGUAGCCGACCUGAGAGGGUGAUCGGCCACACGGGAGCUGGGACGCGGACCAGACUCCUGCGGGAGGCAGCAGUAGGGAAUCUUCCGCAAUGGGCGAGAGCCUGACGGAGCGACGCCGCGUGAGUGAUGAAGGUCUUCGGAUCGUAAAACUCUGUUAUUAGGGAAGAACAAAUGUGUAAGUAACUAUGCACGUCUUGACGGUACCUAAUCAGAAAGCCACGGCUAACUACGUG
rnacentral:rRNA from 1 species